rnacentral:lncRNA from 1 species
GACACCAUACACUUGCAAUAUAAAAUCAUGUUGCAUAAAAUGCGUGGCAAAAUCCUACCUCUAACAAAUAAGUUUUCUCAUCCAGCAUUAUUUCUUCCAAUUUUAAGUUCAAGCUCCUUACUCCUUAAGAAUUUUUUGCUCUAUCAGGGGUAAGGGUAUUUUUGCCAUAUUUUAUUGUAGCUUUUACUUCCUUAUAUGUUUCAGGGAUGUCAUUUAAUAAUACAACAGCUUUAUAUUCUUCAAAAACUUUAUUACUAGCAUUAGUAAUAUCCCGAACCAAUUUAUUAAAAGUGUCAAGACUAUUCUCUAAAUCCUUAGAGGGGUCAAUCCUAAAGUAAAAUAAUUUCUCUAAUAAAAACAGCUUAUUAGGCAAAGACUUAACAAGAUAAAGUUUCUCUAAUUCAUCCCACAAUGUCUUAGCAUCAUCAUGCUUUCCUACUUUUCUUAAAACUUGAUCAGAUAAAUGCAAGAUAAUAAAGGUAUAAGCAAGUUCAUUAGCUUCAUUCUUCUGAUUAGUUCUCAUAGUUUGAGAAUAUUCUUGUGUUAUUGCUUUGGAAACUUUUUGUUGAACCAAGAGACAUCUCAUUUUUUUUUGCCAAAUGAGGAAAUCCCAUUUUCCAUUAAAAAAAAAAAAAAAAGAGGUAAUUGUCAUUUUUAAUCAAGAAAUAAUACAACGUAUUUCAAAGAUUUAAAAAACCAGACAGCUGAUCAACUUUUGAACACUAAUGGGAUUUUGACCUUCACAAAAGAGAAAGAUACUAGAUGACAGAAAAUAAACAGCUAUAAGAUAAAUAUAUCACAGUUAUUUUCAAUUAACAAAAAAAAUAAAAAAAAAUAUUCCAAUUAGAUAACACAGUAAUAAAUAUUAUAGUUAAACACACAGUCAAGAUCAAAUGGUCUAAAGAAUGAAAGAAUAUAUCACCAAUAGUCGCCCAAGAUGAUCAAAUUCACCAGGAUUCCAUGAGAAUAAUAUUCUCAAGUCAAGGCUCAAUUUGAAUACAUCAGGAAGACUAUAUGAUCUUAUAUAGCAGGUCACAGUAAACAAUUAAUGUUUACUUUACAAUUUACAACAGUAUUACGUAAGAGAAACAAACAUGAAUAGAAAAUAUAGAAUGUUAUAGGAGUAAAAAAUGUCGCAAACCAGAGGGUGGUUCUUAGGAUUUAACCACCAAGAAGACCAAAUAGUAGGGGUUAUACAGAGCCUCUUUGCUAUAGCUAAUAUCCAGUGUUCCACCUCAAGGAUCAUUCUACCAAGGAUUUCAAGUUUGGGGUCACUAUUUCAGAUCGAACCACUAAUCACAAAGAACUUUCAAAUUUAAAUAGUAACAAGACUAAUCAGUAAGUCUAACCCAUAGAUCGAAAUCGAUCCAUAUCUAGGGUUCAAAAAAAUUUCAAUCAAUCACAAGAUGAACAUUGAAAAUUAACUUUCCAGGGUCCAAUCUUCAAUCAAAGCCUAGAGAACAGUCGAAAAAGCUCUGAUACUACUAUCAUUACAAACUCAAUGUACAAAAACUACAGAUUUGCAUAUUAUACUUGAAUAUUGUUACAAACUAAACCAGUAGACACCAAGACUUCAACAAGAUUAGGCUUAAGACACUUGUGCCCAUUUGAAUCAUCACAGAGGCUCUGAACAAACCCAAGAACCCUCACAAAUCCACAAGUAUGAAGUCACUACAAUGGACCAUAAAAUGGAUACAACAACAGAUCAAGGCCUAAUUCACACAAAGAAAUUACCAAGACUCAUUUCUCACUCAAAGAAUUUCAAUCGAGAAGGACAGAAAAUUCUUGAAGAUUCUAGACCUCAAGACACUAGGAAAUGGAACGAAUCACCUUUAGGGUUGAG